CAUGGACAGGAUUGACAGACAGAUUGACAUCUCUUUCUCAAUCCUAUGCGUGGUUGUGCAUGGCUCUUGUUAGUUGGUGGAGCGAUCUGUCUGGUUAAUUCCGAUAAGGAAUGAGACUCUGGCAUGCUAGCUAGUUACAUGAUCCCUGAGCAGUUGGCAUUCUCCAACUUCUUAGAGGGACAAGUGGCAUUCAGUCACCUGAGAUCAAGCAAUAACAGGGCUGUGAUGCCCUUAG
rnacentral:ncRNA from 1 species